rnacentral:lncRNA from 1 species
UGUCCCUGUACAUGCCGCUGAAUUCCCUUUCCUGGUGCGUUAUUUUCAAGCCUGCAUAUGUUUGCAAGCAAAGGCAAGGUCAGGCAUUUUGUCAGCGACCACUUGUCAUGGGAACAACACGAGAGUUUUGGCAAUGGCCUGCAUGAUGCAGCAGCCAGCAGCACAGUGUGAUCUCUGAAGCUCUGGUGCAAUGGGCGGCUUGACGCCAAUGCACAAGUACAGCAUGAAUAUGCCCUUGCUGCUGCUACUCUUGGUUUUCAGACAUAUUCCCCUGAUUUUGAUGUUUGACCCUGCAAGACACUCAAGGGGGAAAAAGAAACUCUGCAAGACUGCAACAUCUCCCUCUCAAGGACGUCCAUAAUAAAACUGUCCAGAAAAAUUAGAGUUUGGAUUACAAACUGACAGUCUCAGUAGAGAACUAGUAACUGAUACUAAAAACAGUGAAAGCUGAUGAGUCCUUUCACUGGACCCACUCAUCAUUUGGCUCUACAAAUCCCAUGAAAAGGCUCACUUAUUAGUGCUCGGUUCACCAAAUGGCCUACCAUGACCAAUAAAAGUUCUUAACAAAGAACACCACAGAUAUUCUAGGUGAGCAAGAAUUUCAUACUAGCAAAUAUAUACUAGCCCUUAUCUGGUAGAAAUUGCAAAAAGGAAGAAAAAAUAUCUCAGGUUUCAAAGGAGGGCCUGAGUAUGAAAUGGAGAGAAUACGACCAUCUCCUGUUGUCACUUGUGAUCAUGGCCACACACACACACGCACGCACACAUAUAUAGAUACAUAGAUACAUACACACAGAGGCUGCCUUUUAACAGAAGGUUCCUUUUGAUCCAUGCCGAUAGCUAAGUCCCGAUUACUUCCGUGCUCUGAGAUCUGGAUUAGAUUCCUUGAUUCCCCUAUCAUCAGAAAAGCCAAAGGCAGUUUGCCAAUUGCAUCAGGAUACUGUUGGGGUCCUCCUCUGAAAACGCAAAGGUUACCACCAUUUAUUCUCUGAUUCUCUCCUCAUUGUUUUUUUUAUAUUUUAUUUUAACCUUUCCUCUCCAGCUCUCCUCCCCUCUUUUGAUAUUUUCUUUCAUCUUUCACCAAUCUAACAACAACCCCUUUUGCUUCCUCUGUCAACUUUUCCAUUCAUGCCAUCCACUUUUAACAGUUUUUAUUUAUUUAUUUAUUUACAAUUUACAGCAAGAAAAAGAUGGUCACACACUCACUCCUGGCAUAUCUGUCUGUCUGUCUAUCCAUCUAUCUAAUCUUCACUCGGAAGCAAAUUUUGGUGUGUGGGGGAAAGUUGCAUCGCCCUAGCUAAGGCUAGGAGCUGUGAUAGUUGAAGAGAGAGAGAGAGGAAGAGAGUGGAGAUGGUGGUGGUGGUGGUGGUGGGGCACUGAGAAUCCAGCAAAGGAGGAUAGGGCUGAGAAGUGUGAGAAAACAGCAAGAGAACAAUGCGCAAACAGCACACAUAUAUAUGCCAUCUCCUCUCUCUCUCUCUCUCUCUCUACUUUCUCCAUCUUUUCUACUACUACUACUACAAGUUUUUUAAUCUCUUUUUCUCUCUCAGCUCACAAAACACAAAUAAAAUUUCUAUCCUUUUGAGAAGCGUGUAUGUAGUUGAACUGUUUUGCUUUUGCCCGCCUACUGCUCAAAGAUUCUCCCUCCUUUCAGGUCAAAGAAGUGAAAGCAAAAGGAGGAACAAUUAAGGAUGGGAGGGUAGCCAGCCAGCCGGUCGGCCGGCCAGUCAGUGACAUGUGUGCGCCUUAUGUUCAUGGAUGCCUUGUGUUUGUGUAUGGAGAUGAGAUGAGAUGAGAAGAAAAGAUGGCCUAGCUUGCCCUUGGCCCCCCCUCACCACCACCACCACCAUAUAUUCCCUUGCACACAGAGGCAGGCAGGCAGGCAGGAAGACGAGGAGGAAGAAGAGAAUAUAUCUGAGUAGUGGAGUCCAAGGAAAGGAACCAACUGACCGGAGCUAGCUCAGAGAAGCUUCACUAUAUAAGGAGACGUCCAGCCACACGGCUAGUGGGAGGAAGAAGCAGCAGCAGCAGCGUGCUUGUGCUUGUGUGUGCGUGCGUGGAGAGAGAGCUUGUUGUUCUUCGUCCUCGGCUCCGGUGAUCGAUCGCCGGCAGCGGCUUCU